ACUUUUGACGGUGGAUCUCUUGGCUCACGCAUCGAUGAAGAACGCAGCCAGCUGCGAUAAGUAGUGUGAAUUGCAGAAUUCAGUGAAUCAUCGAAUCUUUGAACGCAAAUGGCGCUCUUGGGUUCUCCCAGGAGCAUGUCUGUCUGAGUGUCGGAU
rnacentral:rRNA from 1 species